AUUGAACGCUGGCGGCAUGCUUUACACAUGCAAGUCGAACGGUAACAGGUCAAGCUGACGAGUGGCGAACGGGUGAGUAAUGCAUCGGAACGUGCCCGGUCGUGGGGGAUAACGCAGCGAAAGCUGCGCUAAUACCGCAUACGAUCUGAGGAUGAAAGCGGGGGACCGUAAGGCCUCGCGCGAUCGGAGCGGCCGAUGUCAGAUUAGGUAGUUGGUGGGGUAAAGGCUCACCAAGCCAACGAUCUGUAGCAGGUCUGAGAGGACGACCAGCCACACUGGGACUGAGACACGGCCAAGACUCCUACGGGAGGCAGCAGUGGGGAAUUUUGGACAAUGGGCGAAAGCCUGAUCCAGCAAUGCCGCGUGCAGGAAGAAGGCCUUCGGGUUGUAAACUGCUUUUGUACGGAGCGAAAAGGUCUCCUCUAAUACAGGGGGCUCAUGACGGUACCGUAAGAAUAAGCACCGGCUAACUACGUGCCAGCCGCCGCCGUAA
rnacentral:rRNA from 1 species